GCGCGGUUAGUGUAGUGGUUUAGCACUCUCGUUUCCCAUUCCUCCUUCAAUAGGAAGAAUAACGAGGGGCCCGGGUUCGAAUCCCGGACUGCGCA
rfam:Sordaria macrospora k-hell, WGS project CABT02000000 data, contig: 2.15